rnacentral:rRNA from 1 species
UGGGGCAGAUGAUUAGGGUGAAGUCGUAACAAGGUAGCCGUAGGAGAACCUGCGGCUGGAUCACCUCCUUUCUAAGGAAUAA